CGGGGUGGAGUAAUGUCUGGGAAACUGCCUGAUGGAGGGGGGUAACUGCUGGAAACGGUAGCUAAUACCGCAUAACGUCGCAAGACCAAAGAGGGGGACCUUCGGGCCUCUUGCCAUCGGAUGCGCCCAGAUGGGAUUAGCUAGUAGGUGGGGUAACGGCUCACCUAGGCGACGAUCCCUAGCUGGUCUGAGAGGAUGACCAGCCACACUGAAACUGAGACACGGUCCAG
rnacentral:rRNA from 1 species